rnacentral:rRNA from 1 species
AGGACGAACGCUGGCGGCGUGCUUAACACAUGCAAGUCGAGGGGGCAGUUGGGGCAACCUGGCUGUCACCGGCGAACGGGUGCGUAACACGUGAGCGACCUACCUCUUGGCGGGGGGAUAGCCGGCCCAACGGCCGGGUAAUACCGCAUACGCUCCCUUCUGGGCAUCUGGAGGGGAGGAAACUUUCGAGGCAGAGAGAGGGGCUCGCGGCCUAUCAGCUAGUUGGCGGGGUAACGCCCACCAAGGCAUCGACGGGUAGC